rnacentral:ncRNA from 2 species
UACGUGCUCCGGGGUCAGUGUAAGUCUGAACCGGCGGUGAUAGUCCGCGACCCACGAAAGUGGUUGAUUGGGUGAAAUUCCCAAACCGACGGUUAAAGUCCGGAUGGUAGGAGCAACAU